rnacentral:lncRNA from 1 species
GAAGCCAGCUGCCCUCCCAGCCCCCUGUAGGGGGCCCUGUGGAGCAAAGCUUUCGCGGGUAACGGGCAAAGCGGGGCAGUAGUGUCAAGUCAGGUCUUGGCAGCACAGCGAGGUUGGCGACUUCUCCUUGGCUGCCAACUCAGCCAAAGGCUCAUCCUGCACUGUUGGGCCUGUUGCUGGGAUGCACCUUUGGAAUGUGUGAGCCAAGAAUGGGCGCGCAUGCUCAUGGAACCCGCAAGGAAGACGCACCGGGGAGGAAAGGGAGGGGGCAGAGAUCACCCUAGGAGUGUGCACAGGGGGCAGCUGCCGGUGGAGGGUGUUUGGCUGCUAGGAAAAAUGGCUGCCAGGGUCCUGUAAAGCAAAGCUUGCUUGGAGAAUGGGCGAAGAUGUAGGUGUAAGUGAUUUGCUCAAGAUUAUGCAACCUCCCUGGGCAUAGCCCCCACUUCCUUGGGAAUUUCCUAGCAUGUCCUGGAACGGGCCUCCAUCAUUCCCCAUUUCCUGCUGCAUGAGGAGACAUUGCCCCCCUACAAAAACUAGAUAGUGUAAUAUCUGCCCCUGGUGUGUCCGGAAUUGGUCCCUUCUGGUGGGUUCUUGGUCUGCUGACUUCAAGAAUGAAGCCACGGACCCUCAUGGUGAGUGUUACAGUUCUUAAAGAUGGUGUGUCUGGAGUUUGUUCCUUCAGAUGUUCAGAUGUAUCCGGAGUUUCUUCCUUCCAGUGGGUUCGUGGUCUCGCUGAGUUCAGGAGUGAAGUCGCAGACCUUCGCAGUGAGUGUUAUAGCUCUUAAAGGUGGGGCAUCCAGAGUUGUUUGUUUCUCCCGGUGGGUUCA